UAGCUUGACAUGGUGAAACGUUAUGUUUUCAAUUAAGUAUUUGACACUUCUUGUCAGUUAUCAAUAAAUGAAUUGAGGUUAAUUUAAAUCGUCUUUGUUUUGAGUUUGGAUAUAAUUAUAGGUAGGUUAUGUGAAAUGAGCAAGGACAUGAUUCGGGAAUAGAGGCAUUUGUUCAAUUCAUUCUCAAUUCUUCUCAUUCCGUCUGUUUAAAGCUGGGGUUUUGGGUGUUUUCUCUGGCCUGGUAAGAUUGGUUUUCAAGAUUUCUGGGGUUGUGAUAAGGCCUGAAUAUUUAGCGGUUUUUUCGUUUGUUUCUGUGUGAUUUGCACUGAUUGUGGUCAAAUCAAUUUCCGAUUUUGUUUUCCGUUUGAGCACCGGUGGUUUUUGCAUCUCUGGGAAGUUAAUUUUCUGCAACUGAGCUCUGAUCAUAUGAUAGGGUUUUCCUGGCUAAGAGGAUAUUCUGCGGUUUGGUUCCUCGCUUGGUCAGUCGCAGAUUUACCGACGGUUCCGGCGAUCCUGUUAUUUUUUGGAAGCAGUUCAUUGAGUUGGAUGUAAUUUUGUUGAACUUGAAAAUCAUUUGAUCUUCAGGGCGACCAAUUAUACGUACUGGAAACAAUACUGGUUACAAAGUUUUCAUACCAAGGAUUACUCUUGCAGCAACAGAGAAAUAAAUGAUGCAAUCAGAUCAAACGUAACAUAUACAACAACAUUAAACUUAGGUUCAUAUUCCUCAAUUUAUCUUAAUGCAUUGGAAAAAUUGCACCUCCACAGCCAAGCACCCAUGGUGUUCAUCACUCACUCAGCUACGCGGUUCAUUGUCUCCUUUGUUUCUCAUACAAGAACAUUCCUGUAACAAUUAAUGGUAUGUUAAAAAUAUUUUAAUUUAUUCCCUUUUCCAUAAAUGCUUUCUGCUUAAAUUAAAUUUUUACUAAUCUUUCUCUUCAGUGGAACUGAUUGUUACACAUAUAUAUAUAUCCACAGUAUUUGCUUUUUAUUUGCUUUUAAUACAUCAUUAAUUACUUGCCUACACAUAAAUGGAUUCAGUUGGACAUCCAAAAGUGUUAUCAAAGAUGUUGUAAACAAAAAUGUAUCCACUCCAUGACCCUUGGUUGAACAAAAAAAACACAUCACCAAUAAAAGCAAUUGUUUAAUUUAUCUAUACAACAUUCUUAUUAUUGGUUAGAUAGAUUAAACAAUUCUCCACUUCAUUUUGUGUUCUUUUGUUCAAUCAAAGGAUAGCCAUAAAAUAUACCUAUGGUUAAAGAGUCUAGAUUCAUACUUUAGGAUAUCCAUCUUAUAUCCCUCAAUGAAUAGGUAAGAAACUUAUUGUGUAUUUAUAGCAAGUGAAAAGAAGAAACUAUUUGUUUAUGUAUUGGUAACAGUCAGUUCCUCUGAAGAGGAAAGACGGACAUGAUCAUAAUGCCAAGCAAAAUUAAAGUUCAAACAUCACCCCAAAUUAUAUCUUUGUAUGCCAUAAAUAUACAAAAUAAGGCAUAUCGGAUCCAUCCCUCAACGUCCUUUGUUACCAUUUUUACAAUGAAAAAAGACAUAAUUCACCCUAUUUUUCCAUUAGUAAUUUCUAAUUUCCCUUCUGUUUCUUAUUUUCAAACUCAUUCCCCAGCCUGAUCAACAUCUUUACCUAUUUUUCCAUUGGUAAUUUGUAUUUUUAAUUAUUUUCCAUUCUUGCCUGAGUUUUUCUCACAACUUAUAGUGUACAACUUGCUUUCUUCAUUCUCUACACUAUGGAUUCGUGUCAUUUAAUUAGGAUACCGUAUGAUUACACAUUUUGCUAUAGUUUUUCAAAUGUCUUACAAUGGUUUUGCAUUACUGCUGAUAUCCUGCAUCUCCACCUUGCAGAAACUACAAGGUAUGCUUCCACUCCUCAUGAUCUGUAAAUUACUAUAUUUGUCAUUCAAAUAAUCUUAACAAACAUUAUGUAACCCAUGUUUACCUAAGAAAUCCAAAAUUACAAAAAAACAGAAAACAGCUAUAUAAAGAAAUGAACAUACACGAACCAACUCAUGCACAGUUUAUGUUACUGCAUUUGUUUCAGCAUUUUGGUGUUUGUUCAUUUGAUUGAAAUGCUGUUCCAUCCUUGCACAAAUUACAAGGUAUGCUCCAAUCAAUGCUUUGAUAAAUUCCAUUCAAAUUGAUACCAGUUAUCACUGCAUUUGAACAUGUUCUGUUUGACACGCGCAGCGUCGUGCGGGCACCAUUUCUAGUGUGUGUGUGUGUGUGUGUCUAUAUAUAUAUAUAUAUAUAUGAGGGAAGGGAUUCCCAUUUUUUUAUAAAAAUGAGGAUUAGUUGCGGGGUUCACACUAUAUCGAACUUUAAUGAUCCGAACCUUUUUUUUUUUCAAGUUGCACUUCAUAAAUCAUCCUUGCAAAAUAUUAGCCAAAUCGGAAAUGUUUAAGACAUCUAACUGAGUUUAAAGAAAUUAACGAAUACUUUGUUAUAUAAGAAACAAUGAAAUUUGAUCAUAAGGAUGAUCUACGAAUCGAGACUUACAAAAUAGACGGUUCAGAUCGUUGAAGUUCGAUUUGGAGUGAGCCUCACACGUAAUCCUCGUGUUUUGAAAAAAAAUGAGGAUCCCUUUGCAUAAAGGGCUGUAUAUAUAUAUAGGUUCAAGCUAAAUCACUCAUGGGCAACCAAAACUACUUGAUUUCCAACAUUUCUGCCACUAAAAAGUCCCACAAGAACUGCAGGAGCACUCUCAAGGCCUUAAGCUAUGUCUUCCAGAUACACUAUUUUCCCUUCUCUGAUGUAGGGGAUCACCAUGUCCAGAAACUUGGGGUAGAGGUGGAAAUAAUCAGACAUGACGAAGCCUUUGAUGCGAAUCUGAUUGUAGAUGAUAAAGACGAGGUUGCUGUAGUCUUGCUGCUGUUUGAGAUUUUAAUACGAGAUCAAUCCGCAUACCGCAAUUCGGCCAUGACAUCUCAUGUUAAUGAGCACAGCAUCCAGCAUUUUUCCUCCAACGUUCUCAAAGUGAAUGUCAAUGCCUUCAGGGAAGUACCUUUUCAAAGCUGCCUCCAGUAAUAUUUGACACUAAGUGGAAGGAGGAUAUGUACUUUAUGGAGAGGGAUUGGCAAUGCCACACAAUGGUCCAACCGCUUACUAGCAUCCCAUUAGCUUUGCAAACUGCCCAACAAGCUGACCAACUGCACCAGCUGCGGCAGAAACGAAGACAUAAUCUCCUUUCUUCGGCGAACAGAUUUCAUGAAAACCAAUGAAGGCAGUUAUACCCGGCAUGCCUAAAUGAUUCAAAGAAAUAAAGGAUUAAAUAGUGAUUGUACAAAGUAUGAACAUGUAUAACUCAUAGUUUUGAUGAAGAACUGGCACAUACCAAGAAGUCCAGUACAGUAGGCAAGGGGAACAUCAGUGUGGUGGAUUUUAAAGAGCUGUUCUGGCUCUGUGAAGAUGCUGUACUCUUCCCAUCCUGUUGUCCCCCAAACCAAGUCACCUUCCUUGAACUCCGGGUGCCCCGACUCCAAAAUUUUAGCCACACCAAACCCAUUUAAUGGCUGAAGAAAUGCAUCAACAAGUAUUUAUUUUCAGAUUUUUCAUGUAGUGAAUUCAGUUGUAACAUGCUUAAGCCAGAUGAUUGAAUCUCAACCCUCUAAAAUGAGAAAGCAUAGUGAUUUCAUA